rnacentral:rRNA from 1 species
AACGAACGCUGGCGGCAGGCUUAACACAUGCAAGUCGAGCGCCCCGCAAGGGGAGCGGCAGACGGGUGAGUAACGCGUGGGAAUCUACCCAUCUCUACGGAAUAACGCAUGGAAACGUGUGCUAAUACCGUAAACGUCCUUCGGGAGAAAGAUUUAUCGGAGAUGGAUGAGCCCGCGUUGGAUUAGCUAGUUGGUGGGGUAAAGGCCUACCAAGGCGACGAUCCAUAGCUGGUCUGAGAGGAUGAUCAGCCACACUGGGACUGAGACACGGUCCAGACUCCUACGGGAGGCAGCAGUGGGGAAUAUUGGACAAUGGGCGCAAGCCUGAUCCAGCCAUGCCGCGCGAGUGAUGAAGGCCCUAGGGUUGUAAAGCUCUUUCACCGGUGAAGAUAAUGACGGUAACCGGAGAAGAAGCCCCGGCUAACUUCGUGCCAGCCGCCGCCGUAAAAC